UGACUUGUUUCCUCUUUGCAGCAUGUAUAUUGGCAUGAUCUUUGUGAGGUAUAUUUAGUCUGUAACCAUCUUCUCCUUUUGGGUAUAAAAGUGGAUAUUGCAAAGGCAAAUAUGCAGGAUGAAGUUCAUGUAUUCUCUUCAGAAGUCCGGACUGUUUUUCUAUUAUAAUAUCUCUUUUAUCAGCUGAGUGUUCAUCACCAACAAUCAAGGCAGCAACUUCAGUGGUAGUUGGUAAGUUAUACAACCUUCCGUCUGUUUGUC
rnacentral:lncRNA from 1 species